rnacentral:rRNA from 1 species
UACAGAGGGUGCAAACGUUGUUCGGAUUUACUGGGCGUAAAGCGCGUGUAGGCGGCUUGGCAAGUCGGGUGUGAAAGCCCUGGGCUCAACCUAGGAAGUGCACUCGAAACUGCUUCGCUGGAGUCUCGGAGAGGAAAGCGGAAUUCUCGGUGUAGAGGUGAAAUUCGUAGAUAUCGAGAGGAACAUCGGUGGCGAAGGCGGCUUUCUGGACGACGACUGACGCUGAGACGCGAAAGCGUGGGGAGCAAACAGG